rnacentral:lncRNA from 1 species
UAGCAACAGUAUGAACCAUAAAGUCUUCCUCAUUCAAAACUAAAAUAGUUGCAAAUCUAAUGAUUACAAAACUAAAGCAGAUUACACCAUUCUACAUCAAUUAAGAAGCUAGCAAUUAGCCCAACAAACUAAAGACACACUAAAGAGAAGACUGCAACAUCGAGUAUAACACCACAUUAUGCCGACCCCUUUCGUUUUCCAUUAUCUUCCGAGGGCUCUUUUCCUUUGCGAAGUGUCACAUUAAAUGAAACCUCGACGUUUCGGUUCUCGGCUAUUCGAGCUAGACUUUCGAACAUAUUUUGCAACUCGUUCACUUCCUCGUUCACAGUAGGAUUUAUUGUGUCCUUAAUGGUACUUGACUCGCCGUUUCCUUCUUCUUUUACCCAGUUAAAAAAUCUGCAAUCAUUACUGUAGGUUUUGAAUAGUCGACCAUUGUUAUUGCCCUCCUUUUGAACCUCAAAGCAUUUUUGGAUUCCUUCUACACACCAUCGACAACGUAGUUUUUGGUGGCAUUCUUCGAAAAAGUGAUCUAUACUUCUACAGCUGUGAUAAACACCAUAAUUCUUUCCUCUUAUCCCUACAUGAAAAACCACCACAUACAUUGUAGUUAGUGUACAUAUAGCUACCGAGUUCUUCAAAUUAUCAAUGAUUUUGAUACUCUAAAUUCUAUACUAGCAAGUUUAAACCAAAUUUCACAUAAGUCAUAACAUAUAGCAAUGGCAAAGAAGUUGAUCACCACAUUACAUUUGUUUACGGCUUCAAAUGUGGAAGCCAAAUCAAUUUUAAAGAGAGAAAGGCCUUUACCAUCCAAACUUUAAUUACAUGAAUUC